rnacentral:rRNA from 1 species
GAUGAACGCUGGCGGCGUGCCUAACACAUGCAAGUCGAGCGUGAUUGAUAUGAGUGGCGACUUCGGUCAAAGCGAGUAUCAUGAAAGCGGCGGACGGGUGAGUAACGCGUGGGCAACCUGCCCCAUACACGGGAAUAGCCACUGGAAACGGUGAUUAAUGCCCGAUAAGACCACAGCACCACAUGGUGCAGCGGCCAAAGAUUUAUCGGUAUGGGAUGGGCCCGCGUCUGAUUAGCUAGUUGGUGAGGUAACGGCUCACCAAGGCGACGAUCAGUAACCGACCUGAGAGGGCGGACGGUCACACUGGAACUGAGACACGGUCCAGACUCCUACGGGUGGCAG